GGGAGGCCUCGGCCCGGGCCUCCUCGCGAGGGUUCACGAGCCGCCCCUGGAACCGCUGCGUGGCUGUCGCUGCCAGAGCAGCGAAAGUGAUGCUGAAUAGAAGACGAUACAGAGAAACCAGGGAGGCCACAGACACAAAACCAAACGCUCGCCAGCACAGCUGUUCCCUACUUUGACUUAGAGAUUGCGUCUUUACCUCUGUGCACAACGAUACAUGCUGCAGCUGAACAGAUGCAACUGAAAACAGGAAAAUGGCAGUAACUCAGUGAUACUCAAUAGGUAGAGUACUACAUCUCCCAAUUACCCAUUUAAAAUACAUUGAUGCUUGUCUGCCUUUUGUUUAUGUGGGUUUAAAUUGUCACUGAAAUACAUCCUAGUCGUGGGCAUUUGCUUCAUUUCUAGGAAGGGAGCAGCAAAAUGGCCACUUUACACAAAAUAAAAUGCAACUCUUGUAUGUUGACCUUUGCACACGGUGUGUUUUAAGUGACAGUCUGCCUCAGAUCCAACAGAUUAUUUCUAUCCAUGUUCAAUUAUGAAGAAUAUAACGUGUCUACAUAACCCAUAUUAAACAUGUAAAUGUAUCUUUACAUGCUUACUCUUAAAUUAUACUGAGAAAGGGUGAAGUUUUCUUUUCCCUCCUAUUCCUUGAUACACUGCUCAAAUGUGUAUUUAACACCUAUCCAAAUGCAAUGUACAGAAUAACUUAAAAGUUUCAACAUGUAACAUGUAGUGGCUUCUUGACUGGGAGUUCACAUACUCUAUAUUUACAUGUCAUGCAAGUACAGGUAGCACCAUCAAACAUCAUGUCAGUGCACCUCCUGGACACCGUGCCUCUUCAUAUGUUGAGCUAUUUUCUUUUGUGCCAGCCUAAUUACAAAUUUGGUAAUUCUUUCGACUGCAAAAAAAGGGGGAAGUAAUUCCACCAACUAUUGUAUGCAUUUUCUUACUUUUUAUUGUAUUAUCACCUUUGGAGACUCCGGUAAAUUCCACUUAGCCAGCAGCAGUGGAUAAAAUUGGUGGUUUUCAAGUACUGCUUGUUACUAAC